AACGAACGCUGGCGGCAUGCCUAACACAUGCAAGUCGAACGAGACCUUCGGGUCUAGUGGCGCACGGGUGCGUAACGCGUGGGAACCUGCCCUUAGGUUCGGAAUAACUCCCCGAAAGGGGUGCUAAUACCGGAUAAUGUCUUCGGACCAAAGAUUUAUCGCCUUUGGAUGGGCCCGCGUUGGAUUAGCUAGUUGGUAGGGUAAAAGCCUACCAAGGCGACGAUCCAUAGCUGGUAUGAGAGGAUGAUCAGCCACACUGGGACUGAGACACGGCACAGACUGCUACGGGAGGCAGCAGUGGGGAAUAUUGGAAAAUGGGCGAAAGCCUGAUCCAGCAAUGCCGCGUGAGUGAUGAAGGCCUUAGGGUUGUAAAGCUCUUUUACCCGGGAUGAUAAUGACAGUACCGGGAGAAUAAGCACCGGCUAACUCCGUG
rnacentral:rRNA from 1 species